GCAUUUGCCAAAUGUCGAUGUGACUGACGACGGAGCUGACAAUGCCUUCGUGUGGUUUCUGCUGCCUUUCGCCUCUUGAGCACCUGAGCUGAGCUCUGCACAGUUUUCCCACUGAAUGUCUGUUGCAGUGCCUCGUUGAAAUGAUUGCACACCCAAGAACCGAAACCAUCCUCAACAUUUUUUAGUAUGCAGUCUGCACCUUUGACAGCACCCACCCAGCAUUAUUGGUAUAACUGCAAAAGACCCCACCCGCCGAUAAAUGCAUCUCUAAUUGCUGGUUCUUUGGCACAAGAUGAAUAACUUUCGGUUUCGCCACAAAUCCAUUAGCUGAUGACAAAGCGACGACAUCGACAAAGUGAUCGGCAGGCCGAGACCGAAAUCAGCAAAGCGGCAACCUACAAACUUUCACCUUUGAGCAAAUAGUUUCCACCAUUUCGCAAUGUAUUUCGAGUGUACGUCAAACAAAACGGCAACAAAUGUCAUAUUUAAGCACAAGCCCAGGCCGAAAAAAAAAACCCAGAGCCCUACAACCCGAGACCAUCAACCUGUUGCCGCGCUGCCUCGGGGGUACUAAUUACCCCAGAGGCCCGAAACAAAUUUUAAGCCACAUAUUUACAUGGUGCUCCAAAAGGGGGGUUGGGCCGAGAGUAGACGACCAUCCUAGCAACCUCUAAAAGCUGGCAUGCCCCCAUCGCAUUGUUGCAGAUAAUUUGUACCUGGAAACACGAUGGCAAAAUUAGGCAUCCAUUUGCAAGAGCAACGAACAGGGAAAUGCACUAUGGUUAAGAUAUAACAAACUGGAUCUGUAAAGUCAGAGACUCCUCGACGGAUCUUUCAGCCGAAAAAUACUAAACACUUUAUGCACGAUAAACAAAGACCUGGCCCUCUGAUGUUUGUCGUCAGGCCUUCAGUUCGGGCUAUCAACUCGGCUCAUCAACAAUAACAAUAUCGACGUUGCAGCUCGACUAGAUUAGGCGGGGAGGCCAGGAGGAGGAUGUUGGAGCCCAAAGACGAAGUUGGAGCUGGAGCUGGGGGGCUUCAUUAGCAAGCCAAGACGGCCGGGCCAGAAGUAACAACGUUGCCAGCGAGCAGUGAAACCUUUUUAAAGAGUGAAACUGAGACGGGGAAUGCGGCUGGUGACCUCCUCAGCUUUUGUGGAAUGACCCCAGAUUGUAACGCCCGCCCAGGCAAAUUUCCGCCGUCUAGUUGGCCAAACUGCGACUAAGUGUGUAUGGCAAAUCAAGCCAACAUACAAACAUCCAGAUCCAGAUACGGUGCACUUGCCAAAGUUGUGAAGGAGGAGCUGGAUACAACUGGCCCAACCUCCAAAUGCAAUCUGCGGCUCAUCUCUGGUUAGUUAAAUUAGCCUAGCGGAGUGGGUAACUAUCUUGCCAGCGACUAUCUGUGGUAGUCAUCUUUUAGUUACACAUUUUGUUGAUUUAAUUUUCAUGUUCCGCGCGGCCCAACACUUCCAUCAACUGACCACGAAAGUUCCGAGGGCACAAAAAGCCAGCCAAGUCCAAGUCCUCGACUUUUUCCAUUCAAUGCUGCGGCAAAGUGCAUAAUUGGUUUAUUAUUUUUAUUUUAUUUGCUCGACACGAUGACUGCAGCCAGCAGCUUCCUGCCAUAUUGUUCGCAUCGCUGAGCAGCGAUUUUCCUUUUUCUCGGGGGGCUUUUCUUUCGGCCCUACCCUACUUGGCCCCAUCCGCCUCGUGGCACUUGAUUUUCAUUGAGGCCUCGCCAUCCUCGUGGCUGGUUUUUGUCAUCUUUUCUAAAGUGUGUCUCGACUUGAGCUCCGAAUCUCAGAGUUUCCGAGGCGUGAUUUAAAUUUGCUGCAGCUUGCUUUUCUCUGUGGCUUGAUAAAAUAAAUACAUUUUCUGCUGCUCUGCACUGACUGAGUUUUCCUUUUUAUCGUGCCAAGGUGUGCCAUCAAUUGUGUCUUCCUCUGGCAUGGUUUUGAAUUUGCCUCUCCUGCAUUUCGGUUUUUGCAGCCAACUAUUUCCCCUGGUUUUUCUGCUGCAAUCUGUGGGCUGGCUAACUGGAAACGGCAAAGAAAUGCAAAUACUCGGCGAUAACCCAGAUACAAGUUGUCGUUCGGCUUGGACAGAGGUUUCACUGAUCCAUCCAAGCCACACACCAGCAACCUUGAAGGCGACAUCAACUUAUGGAUUUUCCAUCAGAGGGAAAAGAUACUUUAUGGGAUUAGUGUAAGCUGCUUUCGCUGCAUUUCCUCGAUGGAAUUGAAUAGGACAACUUAUUAUAUUUUAUAUGUAUUAAACCUCUGAAGAAAAAGGUAAAAAAUUAAAUGUUCUGAUAAAUUCUAUAUAAUUAACUUCUGUAUAAUUAACUUGAAUUUUACAACAUAUUGGCUUCGUAUUUACCUUAAAUAGGUUAACAUCAUAAACUGGUUAACCAGACCUUAACCAAA
rnacentral:sRNA from 1 species